GGUAGAGAUCAAGUCUCGUGCCGAUUUGUUUUGCGAGUUCAUGAAGGACGAUUUAUCCAACCUCCCGCAACUCUUACCAGAGACCAUCAAGUUCUUGGAGGGAAAUGAGGUCCGGAAUGGCCUUGUGGUCUGGUACAAGGAUAAAUCGAGUUGGGUGAUGUCAGCUGUUUUUUUUGGGUGAUGUCAGCCUUUUUGUUUGGGGGCAUGAUGAUGUCAGCCUUUUGGUCUGGGAGACCAAUCAGAAAAAGUAAUGGGGAAUGGAGCUGAGGUGACAAAGCCAAAUCGGAAGCCGAAAGCAAGGCUUCCCCCGUUGAGAGGCCAGAUCAAAGUCAGGAUCUUUAAGCUCUUCUCUAAGGAACUCCGACGCCUCUUUCUCUGUUCGUCUCCGGUGGCGGCUCCGGCUCUGAGGGAGAACUCACCUCGCAGUCGCAGUUGCAGCUCCAAAGAGGGCUCUGUGUCCACGCUUCCGAACAGAUAACGAUCGUUGGACCCACUUCGAAAAUCCGGGCCAGUCUGGAACCAUUUUUAGUUGCUUUCAGUUACUUUAACGUUUGCUAGUAGAGUUAAAACCAGAGUGUCCUUUUUUCUUGUUUGAUGUCUUUUUUCAUGUCGAAGUAGAAGCGGAUUCAAGAUUGUCAAGUCGUCCACGGAGAAACGAAAUAAACUGAAGGUUUUUGGCGGGCGGAUGGGAACUUCCAUAUGAUCAACUGGGUCGGCAGCUGGGGAGUUCGCAGAGAAUCAUGGGGACUAUAAUGACGUCAACCGAAAAGAUCGAAGCGAAUGACGCGAGAAAGUCGCUAAACUGCAGCAUGGUGGAGGGAGAUAUCCUAAAGGAGUAUACUAGUAUAAAGUUCAUAUUACAGGUAUGUAGUGGGUACGUUAAGGUAAUCACCGAGUUUAAGAAGGCAAGGGAGAAUUCACCCUAAUCCUGAUGGCUACGUCAACUUGAUCUCGGCGGCUGUGAGGAAACUCGAUGCUUACAUAUGCCCUGCUUUAUAUAAUAUGAUGUACCAUGUACGUACGUCAUGGAAUAUUAAUACUGUAAUUGUUGCAAUAAAUCUAAUAGUAAACACGUUAGUAUACGUAUCGCCUCAAGUAAUAUAGAGUAAAUAAGAGUAUUG